rnacentral:rRNA from 1 species
GGUUAAGCGACUAAGCGUACACGGUGGAUGCCCUGGCAGUCAGAGGCGAUGAAGGACGUGCUAAUCUGCGAUAAGCGUCGGUAAGGUGAUAUGAACCGUUAUAACCGGCGAUUUCCGAAUGGGGAAACCCAGUGUGAUUCGUCACACUAUCAUUAACUGAAUCCAUAGGUUAAUGAGGCGAACCGGGGGAACUGAAACAUCUAAGUACCCCGAGGAAAAGAAAUCAACCGAGAUUCCCCCAGUAGCGGCGAGCGAACGGGGAGCAGCCCAGAGCCUGAAUCAGUGUGUGUGUUAGUGGAAGCGUCUGGAAAGGCGCGCGAUACAGGGUGACAGCCCCGUACACAAAAAUGCACAUGCUGUGAGCUCGAUGAGUAGGGCGGGACACGUGGUAUCCUGUCUGAAUAUGGGGGGACCAUCCUCCAAGGCUAAAUACUCCUGACUGACCGAUAGUGAACCAGUACCGUGAGGGAAAGGCGAAAAGAACCCCGGCGAGGGGAGUGAAAAAGAACCUGAAACCGUGUACGUACAAGCAGUGGGAGCACAGAGCAAUCUGUGUGACUGCGUACCUUUUGUAUAAUGGGUCAGCGACUUAUAUUCUGUAGCAAGGUUAACCGAAUAGGGGAGCCGAAGGGAAACCGAGUCUUAACUGGGCGUUAAGUUGCAGGGUAUAGACCCGAAACCCGGUGAUCUAGCCAUGGGCAGGUUGAAGGUUGGGUAACACUAACUGGAGGACCGAACCGACUAAUGUUGAAAAAUUAGCGGAUGACUUGUGGCUGGGGGUGAAAGGCCAAUCAAACCGGGAGAUAGCUGGUUCUCCCCGAAAGCUAUUUAGGUAGCGCCUCGUGAAUUCAUCUCCGGGGGUAGAGCACUGUUUCGGCAAGGGGGUCAUCCCGACUUACCAACCCGAUGCAAACUGCGAAUACCGGAGAAUGUUAUCACGGGAGACACACGGCGGGUGCUAACGUCCGUCGUGAAGAGGGAAACAACCCAGACCGCCAGCUAAGGUCCCAAAGUCAUGGUUAAGUGGGAAACGAUGUGGGAAGGCCCAGACAGCCAGGAUGUUGGCUUAGAAGCAGCCAUCAUUUAAAGAAAGCGUAAUAGCUCACUGGUCGAGUCGGCCUGCGCGGAAGAUGUAACGGGGCUAAACCAUGCACCGAAGCUGCGGCAGCGACGCUUAUGCGUUGUUGGGUAGGGGAGCGUUCUGUAAGCCUGUGAAGGUGUACUGUGAGGUAUGCUGGAGGUAUCAGAAGUGCGAAUGCUGACAUAAGUAACGAUAAAGCGGGUGAAAAGCCCGCUCGCCGGAAGACCAAGGGUUCCUGUCCAACGUUAAUCGGGGCAGGGUGAGUCGACCCCUAAGGCGAGGCCGAAAGGCGUAGUCGAUGGGAAACAGGUUAAUAUUCCUGUACUUGGUGUUACUGCGAAGGGGGGACGGAGAAGGCUAUGUUGGCCGGGCGACGGUUGUCCCGGUUUAAGCGUGUAGGCUGGUUUUCCAGGCAAAUCCGGAAAAUCAAGGCUGAGGCGUGAUGACGAGGCACUACGGUGCUGAAGCAACAAAUGCCCUGCUUCCAGGAAAAGCCUCUAAGCAUCAGGUAACAUCAAAUCGUACCCAAACCGACACAGGUGGUCAGGUAGAGAAUACCAAGGCGCUUGAGAGAACUCGGGUGAAGGAACUAGGCAAAAUGGUGCCGUAACUUCGGGAGAAGGCACGCUGAUAUGUAGGUGAAGUCCCUCGCGGAUGGAGCUGAAAUCAGUCGAAGAUACCAGCUGGCUGCAACUGUUUAUUAAAAACACAGCACUGUGCAAACACGAAAGUGGACGUAUACGGUGUGACGCCUGCCCGGUGCCGGAAGGUUAAUUGAUGGGGUCAGCGCAAGCGAAGCUCUUGAUCGAAGCCCCGGUAAACGGCGGCCGUAACUAUAACGGUCCUAAGGUAGCGAAAUUCCUUGUCGGGUAAGUUCCGACCUGCACGAAUGGCGUAAUGAUGGCCAGGCUGUCUCCACCCGAGACUCAGUGAAAUUGAACUCGCUGUGAAGAUGCAGUGUACCCGCGGCAAGACGGAAAGACCCCGUGAACCUUUACUAUAGCUUGACACUGAACAUUGAGCCUUGAUGUGUAGGAUAGGUGGGAGGCUUGGAAGUGUGGACGCCAGUCUGCAUGGAGCCGACCUUGAAAUACCACCCUUUAAUGUUUGAUGUUCUAACGUUGACCCGUAAUCCGGGUUGCGGACAGUGUCUGGUGGGUAGUUUGACUGGGGCGGUCUCCUCCUAAAGAGUAACGGAGGAGCACGAAGGUUGGCUAAUCCUGGUCGGACAUCAGGAGGUUAGUGCAAUGGCAUAAGCCAGCUUGACUGCGAGCGUGACGGCGCGAGCAGGUGCGAAAGCAGGUCAUAGUGAUCCGGUGGUUCUGAAUGGAAGGGCCAUCGCUCAACGGAUAAAAGGUACUCCGGGGAUAACAGGCUGAUACCGCCCAAGAGUUCAUAUCGACGGCGGUGUUUGGCACCUCGAUGUCGGCUCAUCACAUCCUGGGGCUGAAGUAGGUCCCAAGGGUAUGGCUGUUCGCCAUUUAAAGUGGUACGCGAGCUGGGUUUAGAACGUCGUGAGACAGUUCGGUCCCUAUCUGCCGUGGGCGCUGGAGAACUGAGGGGGGCUGCUCCUAGUACGAGAGGACCGGAGUGGACGCAUCACUGGUGUUCGGGUUGUCAUGCCAAUGGCACUGCCCGGUAGCUAAAUGCGGAAGAGAUAAGUGCUGAAAGCAUCUAAGCACGAAACUUGCCCCGAGAUGAGUUCUCCCUGACUCCUUGAGAGUCCUGAAGGAACGUUGAAGACGACGACGUUGAUAGGCCGGGUGUGUAAGCGCAGCGAUGCGUUGAGCUAACCGGUACUAAUGAACCGUGAGGCUUAACCUU